rnacentral:snRNA from 1 species
GUACUCGCUUCGGCAGUACAUAUACUAAAAUUGGAACGAUACAGAGAAGAUUAGCAUGGCCCCUGCGCAAAGGGCCACGCCGUUCCUGUUUGCUGUGUCCACACUAUCAUUUU